CGGUGUGGUAGCACGCACCUGUAGCCUCAGCUACUCGGGAGGCUGAAGCGGGAGGCUCACCUAAGCCUGGGAGGUCGAGGCUGCAGUGAGCUGUGAUUAUGCCACUGUACUCUAGCCUGGGUGACAGCAAGACCCUGCUUCCCCCCCACCUUGGCGCCCUCCCCCCCACCCCAAAACCAAGAAAAACCAGUGUGGAGAGUUGGUCGCCCAUCUGCUCCAAGCUGCUGUGUAUUCCCGGUAAUGUAAACAUCGUGAAGGUGGAGAUCCAGUUAACCUUUUAGGUGGAGGGCCAGAUGAUAGAGGGCGACAUCUGACCGGGAAGGCCAUCUGCAACCAGGCCUAAUACAUCCACAGGGAACCAGUAGGAAACAUCUGGGGAGGACAACCCAAAUAAGUAUCAUGGGAGCAAGGGGUGGUUUGAGAACUUUAAAAAUCGCUGCUGUUUUGCAAUGUACCAGGUUGAUGGGGAGGAAGGACCCUUAAAUGCUGAGUGGGCACCGAGUAUUCCAAGCAACUGGAGACUGGCUAUGUGCCUCAACAGGUCUUCAACACCAAGGAGACGACCCAUCUUUUCUGUGCAUGCCUUCCUACUUUUGGGGCAAAAGACAAAACUCUGGAAAGCUUAGAGGAAGCUAAAGACAGGAUUUCCCUCAUUUUUUUUUUGUGGCAGUGCCUCAGGUGACAAAAUGAUAAAACCACUGCUGCUUUACAAAGACUCUAAUCCCCCACUUGUCUUUCAGAAAGAGAUAAACGCCUUCCUGUUUUCUUGUGACACACCCAGAAUCACCAUUGACACUUUAUGGAUUGGUUUUGUUAUUUUUUUAUCCAUCAAGUCCGAAGUCAUUUAACAGAAAAAAAAAUCCGGAAAUCAGAAUGUUGCUAGUUGUGGACGGAGGUCCCAAUCACCCAGAUUCAUUAUUCUUUGUUCAUUCUAAUGUUGAUUGUGUUUCUCCCUCAGGAAGGCCCUAGCUUUCUUCAGCCCUUGGGUUAGGGUAUAAUCGAAGCAUUUGGGAGGUAUUACACCAAACAUAUGUUUGACCACUUUGCUGACUGUAUUUAAAAAAACCCUCGCCUUACUCUGAAAGAAACAUGGCAACAGUACAACAUUGCUGAUUCUUUGGUAGUGAUAAAAGAGGUGAUGGGUGAUAUAAAAUCAGCCACUCUUAAGCUUGCUGGAAACUGUGGGAAGAUAUGUGAAUGAUGAUGCAUUUUCCCUAGAGCUAAUGAAGAAGUUAAAAAAACUUAGUGUCUGCAAAACAGGUGGGUUUAAGAUUCAUUGAUAUCAGGGAAAGUGAAAUUAGUGAGCUACUCAAGUUUCAAUCUUUAGUCAUAACUGAGACUCUGUGUCCAUAGGAAGAAGUCUUUGCAGACAGAGGAAAUUGAAUGCUGUCUGAUGCCAGACCUCAGGCCUCACUGAUGCUGCAAUUGAUAUGGAUCCUUUCCUGGAUUAAAGCUUGGCUUUUAAAAAAGAUUUCAAUAAAUUGCUUAUACCUAUAAAGAGAUGCAGAAGAACCUUCAAAAUAAAGCAAAGGACUUGGAAAGAGAAGACAUGAAGAAGAGGAUGUCAUCUAGGUGAAGGUGAUGGAUACAGAAUCUGAGUCUGAGGGGAAAUCUGACUUUGAAUCAGGAUCCGAUAAGGAGCAGGACAAGAUGGAGGAUAAGAAGCUGCCAGAAGAAAAGCCUGGACCCUCUGGCAUGGCACUCAGAGUCUUGAUAUGUCUGAAGAAACUGUCCAAACCAUUAAUGUGAAGUUGAACCUUUGGAAUGUAACCUUCGAAGUGAAUCUGGAGAGAGUAGGGGUACCUGAGUCGAAGGACGAAGAGGUUCCAGAGACCAUCCUUCCCUUGUUACGCUAACAUCAUUUUCAUAAUUACCAUCAUCCUUUUCAUCACCAGCCACACAUCCCUAUCAUUUUAGUCAGGUAACAAACAUUGCGCUUAAACUCCGCAGGGUCCUGAGCUAAACUUGGGGACAUCUGCUCAGGAAAUCAUCUCAGGAUCUGAGUUAAUGAAGACAAAGACUUCCAGGGUCUUCAUGCUGUCCAUCUGCAUCAGGCUAUACAUACUUUUGAAAUCCCAGAGGUCUUCAGUCUCCCUGUGGGUCAAGGAGAUGUGCAGUAUUUAAAGUGGAUUGAGGACGGCAUGGAAGAGGAUUGAGUGGGGAAAGCUUUUUGUGCAUUCUGCUGGCUACCUCCAGCGGCUGCCUCCAGCCUUCAUCAACUGCACUCUGGGGAAGAGGAGGGCACCUUCUACCUCCCAGUAUCUCUGGAUUCCAUGUUCCCGUCGGCACGGAGGAGCUAAAAAUGGCCUGUGGAGGCUGAAGGUCUGAGGCUCCUAAAGCUGGAAGAAAAGGCUGGGCCAGUCAGGCCAAGCAAGAACAUAGUGUAACUUGUCUCUGAGUGCUUCAUGGUUAAGGGGGAUAAGGGGGCACGAGGGCACGAGGAUGGUUACAUGUAGUGACUGAAGGGAAGACGCAGUGAGGGUGAGACUUGUCAUCUUGAGUCAGUAGGCCUACCUCAAGUGCCUAGGAUGUAAUUGCUUUGCUGCUUCUCAUGGGGAGGAGUGGCCCUAGUGACCUUGUUCACCUGGAAGAGUGUGGGAUGAAUGUCUCCUCCUACGGGGACUGGCAAGUGCUUUAUCAAAAGGAUAAAUUGCUAAUGGUGGCAUUUCAUGGAUCAGCAGGAUUAUUUCUCCUUGCUAAAGAGGCUUUUGUUGGUCCUGAAUUCUGAGGAGGUGGGACUAGGAAUGGACUCCAUGAACCUGUGUAUGACUCAGGGAAUAUUAGGACUUUGGCACAGCCUCAUGGGUUGGCAGUAAGUCUUGGCUCUUCCCUAGCCUGAAUGACAGAUAUCAGAUCGUUCUGGUGUUUUGUCAGUGAAGAUGUAGAUUCUGAGCGCACAAAACUAACCUUUUCACUUGAACACAGAAAUAGCCCCAGGAAUCGGACAGACCUGUGUCUUUAGGUUUGUUUCAUAGAGCCCCAGGGGUUGACAGUAGUACCUUGGGGACUGCCUGCAUGGGGAUUUUUUUAAAAGCGUUCUUUGUUAAAGGUUUGUAAACCACCCCUCUGAGCCAGUUUUCAUUUUAUACAUUACUGCAGGAAACUGAACUGCAUGGAGGUCCAGAAGGUGGGUAGUGCAGGGUGUAGUGCUGAUAACUACUGUACUUCUUGGAUCUUCGUGCUCCCAAAUACCAAAUGGAAGACAAUCUCUGAGAGUCCUUUGCAAAGAUCUUGUAGGGACUUUAGGCUGGGGCCUUUGGAAAGUUCCUGAGGAUUCCAAUGGAGAUUUUGAGGGAUUGUCUUAGAAGAACAAAGAGAAUGAUAAUGGUGAUGUCCCUGCUUUUUACAACAGAUCAUGUUGUGCUAUAUAUGCAAACCUGUGUAAAGUAAACCCUAUCUAAAAUGUGCUGGGGACCCAAGGUGGACUGCCUGUAUUGCUUCCAGGAUAAAGUCCAAUUUCUAGCUCUGGUUUUUAUAACCUUGCUUCAGCUCACCUUUUCCGUCAUUAUCCCCUGCAUCUCCUCUCCCACGCUGGGAAAUGGAUGGCUCCACUAUACUGUGUGAUGUUAUUGCUAUGUUCAUGCCGUCCCCUCUGCCUGGAAUGCCCUUCUGCAUGAAUGCCUGUGAAAUGUUGCUGCUCCUUUGUAUGGCCUGGCUUCCAUGGUUGGCAGGAAUCUCUUUUGUGGUAUUCCUGCCAUCUUUGUGCAUCAGAGUCAGCUUCGUAUUCCUAGAUUGUAAGCUGCUUGAGGAUAGGGGCAUGUCUUGCACCUGUUUGGCAAAUUGAUGUUUAAAGUAUUUAAAUAACUAAAGCUCUCUCUACAGUACAUAGUCACUUUUGAUUUAUGGAAUUGGCAAAAUUAAACUUUUUUCCUUGAAUAUUCUUAAAGUGAGACUAAUUCCAAAGGAGAUUUUUCUGUCUGUGGCCUUCAUUGGGUGGUUUGCUGUUAUCAGAAAGCUCUUAGUGGCCUUCCUCUUCCCUGGUGUCAAGGUUGACUGUAAUAGGAAAUGGGAGGGGAGAGGGCCAUUUCUGCCAGGCAUUGUCAUAGGUUCUUAACAUUAUAUCCUUAUAAUGCAAUGUUUUCCUCACUUUACAGAUGAAACCUGAGACCAGAGAACAUGUAACAUGUAAAGUACAUGGCAGAAUUAGGAUGUGAACCCAACUCUGAUUCUAAACCUAAUGCUCUUACUCUUUCAUUCAGAGGUUCAGUCAGUUCUUUGUAGGCCAUAGAUCCAGAGAAGCUGCUGUAGCCAACAAUAAAGUUGUUAGUUUUUAAAACA